rnacentral:rRNA from 1 species
AGUGAACGCUGGCGGUAGGCCUAACACAUGCAAGUCGAACGGCAGCACAGUAAGAGCUUGCUCUUACGGGUGGCGAGUGGCGGACGGGUGAGGAAUACAUCGGAAUCUACUUUUUCGUGGGGGAUAACGUAGGGAAACUUACGCUAAUACCGCAUACGACCUACGGGUGGAAGCAGGGGAUCUUCGGACCUUGCGCGAUUGAAUGAGCCGAUGUCGGAUUAGCUAGUUGGCGGGGUAAAGGCCCACCAAGGCGACGAUCCGUAGCUGGUCUGAGAGGAUGAACAGACACACUGGAACUGAGACACGGUCCAGACUCCUACGGGAGGCAGCAGUGGGGAAUAUUGGACAAUGGGCGCAAGCCUGAUCCAGCCAUACCGCGUGGGUGAAGAAGGACUUCGGGUUGUAAAGCCCUUUUGUUGGGAAAGAAAAGCAGCAGGUUAAUACCCCGCUGUUCUGACGGUACCCAAAGAAUAAGCACCGGCUAACUUCGUG